AUCCAGAUGAUGAGUCCCAAAUAGGUCGAAGUGCGCAUCCCAGAU
rnacentral:hammerhead_ribozyme from 1 species